UGCUCCGUAUAGGUGCCGUUACAAAGCGACGAGAACGCGCGACUUUGUCACUUUCGAAUCCGGCGACAUUUUCCGAAUCGGUGUAACUUGGCCAGUUUUACCGUCGUCACGAUCCCCGCAUAUAUUAGGGGUUAGGUGGUGUCUAAUAGACAGAUAGGGAGACUAAUUGCUGGCAAUACCGAAAAUUGAUGAUUCCCUUGUUAUUCAUGGUGUCGGAUUUAGGCGCCCGAGUACUGUUAUACGAAUAAUCUAACCCAAAAGCCGAGCAAAACAUUUGUGCCCGUGUACGAUGUGUUGACGACGUGCAACGACUCAGAUAGAAAUUAGACGCGAAACGAGAUUUAAAUGGAUUAUUCAGUUGAUAAUACAUG